GGUGGAUUAGUGGCGAACGGGUGAGUAACACGUGAGUAACCUGCCCCCGACUCUGGGAUAAGCCCGGGAAACUGGGUCUAAUACCGGAUAUGACUUCCUACUGCAUGGUGGGUUGUUGAAAGAUUUAUCGGUGGGGGAUGGACUCGCGGCCUAUCAGCUUGUUGGUGAGGUAAUGGCUCACCAAGGCGACGACGGGUAGCCGGCCUGAGAGGGUGACCGGCCACACUGGGACUGAGACACGGCCCAGACUCCUACGGGAGGCAGCAGUGGGGAAUAUUGCACAAUGGGCGCAAGCCUGAUGCAGCGACGCCGCGUGAGGGAUGACGGCCUUCGGGUUGUAAACCUCUUUCAGUAGGGAAGAAGCGAAAGUGACGGUACCUGCAGAAGAAGCGCCGGCUAACUACGUGCCAGCAGCCGCGGUAAUACGUAGGGCGCAAGCGUUAUCCGGAUUUAUUGGGCGUAAAGAGCUCGUAGGCGGUUUGUCGCGUCUGCCGUGAAAGUCCGAGGCUCAACCUCGGAUCUGCGGUGGGUACGGGCAGACUAGAGUGAUGUAGGGGAGACUGGAAUUCCUGGUGUAGCGGUGAAAUGCGCAGAUAUCAGGAGGAACACCGAUGGCGAAGGCAGGUCUCUGGGCAUUUACUGACGCUGAGGAGCGAAAGCAUGGGGAGCGAACAGGAUUAGAUACCCUGGUAGUCCAUGCCGUAAACGUUGGGCACUAGGUGUGGGGGACAUUCCACGUUUUCCGCGCCGUAGCUAACGCAUUAAGUGCCCCGCCUGGGGAGUACGGCCGCAAGGCUAAAACUCAAAGGAAUUGACGGGGGCCCGC
rnacentral:rRNA from 1 species